rnacentral:rRNA from 1 species
CAGCAGCCGCCGCGGGAAUACGGAGGGUGCAAGCGUUAAUCGGAAUUACUGGGCGUAAAGCGCACGCAGGCGGUCUGACAAGUCAGAUGUGAAAUCCCCGGGCUUAACCUGGGAACUGCAUUUGAAACUGUCAGGCUGGAGUCUUGUAGAGGGGGGUGGAAUUCCAGGUGUAGCGGUGAAAUGCGUAGAGAUCUGGAGGAAUACCGGUGGCGAAGGCGGCCCCCUGGACAAAGACUGACGCUCAGGUGCGAAAGCGUGGGGAGCAAACAGGAUUAGAUACCCGAGUAGUCCCUGUCUCUUAUAC